AGAAUCAACGCUGGCGGCGUGCCUCAGACAUGCAAGUCGAACGCGAAAGUCCCCUUCGGGGGGCGAGUAGAGUGGCGCACGGGUGAGUAACACGUAGGUAAUCUACCUUUGGAUGGGGAAUAACAACCGGAAACGGUUGCUAAUACCGCAUAAUGCAGCGGCACCUAAUGGUGACAGUUGUUAAAGCGGGGGAUCGAAAGACCUCGCGUCUGAAGAGGAGCCUGCGGCGGAUUAGCUAGUUGGUAAGGUAACGGCUUACCAAGGCGACGAUCCGUA
rnacentral:rRNA from 1 species